CUGCUCCGGUGACCUGACCUGAUGCAUUAGCUUCUCCGUUGGCUUUUGUAGCUGCAUCCCAUGUCUGACAGGAAUCACUACUGGAGUGUCACAGAGGACAGAUAACCUUGUCCUUCCUACCAGCUCUAGUGGUGGCCUGAGCCUGCAGCAGUUUUCUGUGUAGAACCGCUCUCAGAGCCAUGUGUGAGUGUCUGCAAACGUGGAUUUUGUAGAGAGGAAUGGAAGUGACCUUAAUCAAAGUGGUGCCAGCACGAAGGCCGGACAAGAGCAAUAAUCGUGAGGAAGAGGCAGCUGCUUCUAGGGCCCAAUCGUGCUGGGGUUUCCUGUUUCGAGCAUGGUCUCUCAUCCAGAGAUGGCACCAAAUCCGUGUUCUUCCAACAGCCUUUGCAGUUAAUGGAGAAUCAAAGGCAGACUGAGGAAUAUGAGGGCCUUGUUUCAGCU